AUAAAACCUCGUCUUUCCACGAAUAUGGACUACUCCAGCAAGCUUUGCCUCAUCCAACUCGGAAACUUCAGUGUCAACCUCCAAUGAAUUGGAGCAGUGGAGCACAUGAGAUCGUAAACUUUGGAUGACUUGAUUAACUAAAUCAUUUCCUUCAAGACUAAGCUUAUCUGCAUAACCAUAACGAAUCACACAUCUAUAAACCCCUCUGAGACCUAGUUUACUAACAACGAUUCUUUCACCAGGUGCUACUUUAGGAACCAGCAAGUAACGAA
rnacentral:misc_RNA from 1 species